rnacentral:lncRNA from 1 species
GAGCGAGCGGCGGGUGUCCCUGAGAGGCCACCUUUCGACCUUCGAGGGCCAGGAGGAUACGGGGAGGUGGCCGGAGGGAGUUCCCGAACACAGGUCUUCCUGUUCCCGCCGAGCAGGUGUUGGCGGUGCCAGGCCCGGCCUGGCGGGCCCGGGCUGGCAGCCAAAUACCCAGCGUCUGUGCUCGGGACGGGAGUGUUCGUCCAGGACGUGCAGCUCCGGAGCCUGCGCGGGCGACCUUGACCACCUUUGUCGGCUGUUUCCCCCUGAGGGAAGUAUACCUGUCCUGCCAGCCUUGGUCUCUGGCAGGGAAGGUCCUUCCAACAGAGAGGGAAUUGCUUAGAAUUGACUCAACACUGCCUCCUUGCUGAAUGGAUAAUUCAAGCAAACAACUCAAGAGCUGGAUGCUGCCCAGACAGGUAGGCAGCCAGAUAAAGUGAGUGUCCAGGGAAAGAGCAGUAAGGGUCAGAAGAGAAAGAGCCUGGUGUUCUCACUGCCUCCUGCCUUCCUUAUGACUGUCUGUUCAGAAGUCCUCCUAGCAUCUUUCUUCUGCCUUCCCCUGCUCCUGUCCCUGAAACCUUUUCUUCAAAAGAAGUGGAAAAGAGGAACUGGGAACCCAUAUAGCAACAGCAUCACCUGGAAUGAAUUCCUUUAGAACAUACUGUCUUGGAAAUCUGAAGCCUGCAGGGCUGGACAGGCAAGAAGAGCAGUGAGCACUGCAUGAACCUGCAUGUACUCCGAAAUAUUUUUCAAAUGGAAAAGAAAACAGAGAACACAAUUUUCAAAAUAUCUAGAGCCCUCCAAGAAGUCUUUGUAGAGAUCUAUAAAAUCUCAAGGCAAUUUAAAGAAUAGAAAAAUGUUUUAGAAACACUAUUCUCUCCACAUCCUGGGGCAGCAGCCUUCUCCAAAGAAACAGAAAGAAGGAAAUGGAUUGCCUUAGCAAAAAAACAAAUGAAGACACUCCAAAUAACAGAAGAAUGGGAAGGCUACAGACCUUGAAGUCAGAAGAAAAUUUCCUCUCCUUGCCCCGUUUCUCCUUAAAUGGAUCACCAGUACAGUCUCUUACUUCUAGAGCCAUGUUAAGCUUUCUUCCCCAAAGUUGUAAUGUCCUUCUUUUGGUUGUGUCGUGUCCUAAAAUCCUACUCUUUGGUACAAGAUGAAGGUAUAUGAAGAGAUAAUGAAGGAAACAAAUUCAAUGUGUUUGCCAAGAACACAGUCUUUUAAAUAACUCUUAAAGGGUUCGUUUAAAACAGUGUAAUAAAUUGUGGUAAUCUAGUACACAAAGCUAGUAGGAACCUCGUUUAUUAAUAAUAUUUCAACAUUGAGCAGUAGAGGGCAGCACUAUCCUUCUUUUGCAAAAUGUUGAGCACUCUUGAGAAGGAAAAUAAAGGCAAAGCUCCUGACCCCUGUGUCUGUGUUUACUUUUACCAUUAAAAAAAAACAAAAAAUUGGAGUAUUUUUAUUAUGGUUUAGGUGAUUAUGUAUAAAGAAUGUCAGAGCCUGCAUUACCUGGAAGUGGUGCACCAGGUAAUGCAAAAAACACGGAAGGUUUGAGGUCCCCCACUCAGGAUAUGGGUUCUGUCUAGUAAAGAUAAACAGUAGCUUGACCCUGGGUAAUCAGAUAGGGUUAUUGUAUGAACAGACCUAAUGCUCCUGCACGUUCUGGAUAGAAGUCAAUCUACUGAAAUAGCAGGAUGUAGUUUUAAAAAAUGUGUGUAACUCAUAUAGUCUUAGCCCUGAUAAGUGCUUCUAAAUUCUUAUUCACUGCCUUUAUUCUGCUGUGUUAGUGUUGCUCUCUGUCAUACGUGGGUCAGGUCAGAACUAGCUCAAAUACAGUAUGUGUAUUAUGACUUUAAGGAGUGGUGUCAGACAAGAUGGGUAAAGAAUGUCUUUCAUGGGACUGCAGUUGGCUAAAUGGCUGUGUAUAAGUAGUGAAAUUGAAGCCUUGUAUGCUCGUCGUCAUUCUAUCACAGUAUGAUUUGAGUUUCCCUAACCGGUAAACAGCAAGAAAAAAUGAUCUGUUAUUUUUUACUAAAGUUACUUGAUGCUCUUUAGCAAGCUGACAGAAUAAUUCUAAUUUUAGCAAAUACAAAACCAUGGUAAUCCUAGCACAUUUGGAUUCUGUUUAACCCUGAAAACUCUUUUGGCAGCAAAUCUUCAAUGCCAAUUUAGAUAAAUCCCACUAGGAAUAAGCACUGAAAGACGUUGAGUCUAGUUCCCAGCUCUGCCAUGUGAAGUUGGGCAAAUUACAGUCUCUGAGCUUUUAUUUCAUCUGUUAAAUGGAGAUAAUACCUCCUAGAUUUAUUAAAAGGGUCAAUUUAGAAAAUAUGUAUUAAAAUGGUUUGAAAGCCAUUUAAGUACCUAAUGAAUAUUUCUAUCACUGUAGCCCAAAAAGAUUCCUGCCUAGAAGACUUUAUGUCUCUUCUCCUCAUUUGGUAUCAUUCUAUUGCCUGAGAUUGUUAAUUAACUUUUAUGUAUACUCAAUAUUUUCUCCCAACUUGGUUGCUAGUUCCUUGAGAACUGAAACCAUCAAUUGCACUUCUUGGUAUCCUCCACAAUAAGGUAUCUAGGUACUCAAAUAUUUGUUGGUUGAUUAAAAACAUAAACCACAAGACAUAAUUAACUCUUUUUAAAAUUGUGGUAAAAAAACAUGUAUUUACCAUCUUAAUCAUUUUUAAGUAUACUGUAUAUUAGUGUUUACUAUAUGCACAUUGUUGUGCAACACAUCUCUAGGACUUUUUCAUCCAGAAUUCUUUUUUUUUGAGACAGAGUCUUGCUGUGUCGCCCAAGCUGGAGUUCAGUGGCACCAUCCUGGCUCACUGCAACUGCUGCCUCCCAGGUUCAAGUGAUUCUCCUGCCUCAGCCUCCCGAGUAGCUGGGAUUACAUGUGCCUGCCACCACGCCUGGCAAGUUUUUGUAUUUUUAGUAGAAAUGGUGUUUUACCAUGUUGGCCAAGACUGGCCUAGAACUCCAGACCUCAAGUGAUCCACCCGCCUCAGCAGCCCAAAGUGGUGGGAUUACAGGCAUGAGCAACUGUGCCUGGCCUAGCCAUUUUCUAUAAACCUGAAAAUAGAUGCCAGAAAAGAAGGUGCCGCUAUAAAAUGCUUUCUUGAGUGAUUUAUGUCUAACAUACAAUUAAACAUUUAUGAGAAGGAAAUUAUCAGGUUAAAAUAUAAACUCACUUGCCAAUUAUUUGAUUUUCAGGAUAUCUGACUUUUGUUAAUUACUGAAAAUAAAGUAUUAUUUCUAAUCACUA